rnacentral:rRNA from 1 species
AGCCUACGGGGGGCAGCAGUGGGGGAUAUUGCACAAUGGGGGAAACCCUGACGCAGCGACGCCGCGUGCGUGAAGAAGUAUUUCGGGAUGUAAAGCUCUUUCAGCAGGGACGAAAAUGACGGUACCUGAGUAAGAAGCCCCGGCUAACUACGUGCCAGCAGCCGCGGUAAUACGUAGGGGGCAAGCGUUAUCCGGAUUUAUUGGGCGUAAAGGGAGCGCAGGCGGUCAUGCA